GACGAACGCUGGCGGCGUGCCUAAUACAUGCAAGUAGGACGCAGUUGCGAACGGGUGAGUAACGCGUAGGUAAAUACCUAUUAGAGGGGGAUAACUAUUGGAAACGAUAGCUAAUACUGCAUACUAGUAGAUGGACCUGCGUUCUAUUAGCUAGUAGGUGGGGUAAUGGCCUACAUAGUCAACGAUACAUAGCUGACCUUAGAGGGUGAUCGGCCACACUGGGACUGAGACACGACACGAACUCCUACGGGAGGCAGCAGUAGGGAAUCUUCCGCAAUGGGCGCAAGCCUGACGUAGCAACGCCGCGUGAGUGAAGAAGGUUUUCGGGUCGUAAAGCUCUGUUGUAAGAGAAGCGGUAACUUACCAGAAAGCCACGGCUAACUACGUGCCAGCAGCCGCGGUAAUUC
rnacentral:rRNA from 1 species